UAACCAUGAUGAGGGCAGCUAGAAAGUAAGUCUUUAAAUCUCUCCCAACACUCGAAAAAAGACUCAUGUUCAUUUUGAGAAAAAAUCAUUAUAUUUUUCUAAGAGUGA